AAUUAUAGAUCAAGAAAACGAAGUGAAUCGUGGAAAGGAGAAAAUUCAAGAAUAGUCCCUGAAUUUCUACGACUUUUGCAAAUUAGCCCAGAUUGACAUAUAUACAUACGGAGGAUCGGAUCUACACUAAGGGUCACACUAUCCAGAUUUACUCUGGUAGAUUUUGUUAAACAAAUUUUUUAUUUAUAUGGCAUGUAUAGGAUUUGAUUUAGUAAUGUAAUUAUAUGAAUAAUUAAGUAUGCAAACUAUGUUGAAUGUGAUGUUUUGUGAUUGGAAAAUGAAA